rnacentral:rRNA from 1 species
UACAUGGGGUGCAAACGUUGCUCGGAAUUAUUGGGCGUAAAGCGCGCGUAGGCGGUUACUCAAGUCGGAUGUGAAAGCCCUCGGCUUAACUGAGGAAGUGCACCCGAAACUGAGUAGCUAGAGUACUAAAGAGGGUCGCGGAAUUCCCGGUGUAGAGGUGAAAUUCGUAGAUAUCGGGAGGAACACCGGUGGCGAAGGCGGCGACCUGGGUAGAUACUGACGCUCAUGCACGAAAGCGUGGGGAGCAAACAGG